GCAAAUAAUUACAGAUGUCACACUUUUUCACACUUGUUUUACAUCAUGACCUUUACAGUUUAAACACAUGUAAAGAAACUGUAAUAUAGAUUGAUGCUGACAGCAAAUUAUUCUAUUAUGUCAUUCAAACUAUUGCAUGUAAAACUAAAAGGUCAUCAUGAUGUAAAUUAAAUUGAGCUGUCAACAACUGAUUAUUUUCUCUUUGUCACUCUGCUACUGUUUAUCUUGUAUAAUCUAAUUACUUUUACAUGUUAUUAAACUCUAUUAUAACGGUGGCCCUUUAAUAUUCAGGAUAAAAUCAUCCAUUUUAUGAUAUAUGUUACAAUUUGGUCAGUAUGAUGUCUACACACCAUAGAUGGUGCCUAUUUCUCUGAAAACCAAAUUUGAAAACAAGAGGCUCCAUGCAAACCCUGUAAAGUUGUUUUUUUCAUCAUUACGCAUUUUUAAGCUAGGGACGUGGAAAGGAUAUGUAAAAGAAUAAGCUUAUUAUUAUUACCAGUAUGCACUAGUAUACUGAAUAUGUAUGGUUGUGGGUAUGAACUGCAAGCGUUUUAAAGUGAACUUCUGAAAUAAGAUUGACAUAAAGAUAUAGAGAUAAGAAGUAUCUCAAAGAAGGGCAAUAUUAUUGGUCUGUCAGUCUUAAUUUUUUAAUUUGCAUAUAAUAAUAAGAAAAGUGUAUUUUUUGUCUGAAUGACUUGUAGUUGUAAUAGUGAUAAAAAUUAGGCCCUUGUAUGGUAACAAGCCUUUAUUUAGUGAUUCUGUAGAAAUUUAUUCU
rnacentral:lncRNA from 1 species